AAAAAAAUUCAUGGCCAUAUAAUUUGGAUACUACAAGAAGUAAUCACUAAUUAAAAUGAAAUACUUUACUAUUCAAAACUCAGCUUAAUAAUAGAUAUGAACAUGUAGUCUUAUGCUGAAUUGUACGUAUGGCCAUGGAUUAAUAAUAUAUAACCGUGGAUGGUGCUUUUUUUUUAAAUGUCAAGAUAAGAUUGUCUUUAGGAUUAUUAUUGAGUAAUAAAUAAUGCAUUAUUUUUUAACUGCCAAAAGUUGAUUUUGACAGCAUCAAUAAUACAAUAUUAAACAUGAAGUCAUUAGUAUCUGUGCCUUAUUUAAAAUAAUCUUAUAUGUUCAGAAGGCUUUUACUUGUAGAGUGAUCUAGAAUUCCCCCUUCCCCUAAACUGAAGUUACAGAAGCCUUCUAGGAAAUUGGCUCAAAUUUUUAAAAUGUUUUAAUAUUAGAUAAAUAUGUAUAUAUAAUGUAACUGCCAGACUAUAGGCAGUGCUGAAGAAUGGAGGCUGAAAAAGCUACCCCAUUAAUGAGCUGGGUAUGAAGAAGCUAGCAUGACCUAACCGUUACGUACAACCCCAUUUGGAAGGAGUAUUCUGCAGUGGCACAUCCUAUCACAGUCUAAACGUACUGUGAGUAUCUGCUGUUGAGUUGAGGGAGAGUGAAAGUUGACAAAAGAAAGAAUGAAGUCUGAGUUCAAUCGCUUGCAACCAGGUAAAGCGGGCUGUCUCUGGCGAUAGAUCUUAAUGUCAGCAUUAUGAAAAGUGUGUGAAAGUAUUACCCUGUUUGUGCUUUCAGAUGCCUAUUACCAGUAAAGCAGAAAUAAUUCUGGUGGAAGCCAGAAGCAGGACUUCUCAGGGGAUCAUACCUUUGGGACAACGUGAACGCUGUUGCUGAAGUCUACUCCUGCUAAAUGUUUCUGGUGUAGCACUGUAAAUUGCCAGUAGAUGGCGGGAUGAUGCUGCUUUACAAUAUACAUCAGUAGGAAUUUUUUAAAAAGAAUAAUUCUUCUGCAUUUAUUUACAAUAAAGCUGAUUGUGAAGGAGAAGGCUCAGUGAAUGCAUUAGCUGGCUGUGGCCUUCUGCUGGUCCUGAUGCUGACUGCUUCCAUAGACACAAUUCUCUUAUGCUUGGUUUGUGAUGUUUUUGUUUUUAAAUAAUACGAAUUUUUAUCCUCAAAAGACAGUAUAACUGAUGUAAGUGUGGGUGUUCUGAUGUAUAUCUGCUUCUUAUUUGUUUUUCAGAUCAGUCAUGUCCGUGUCCUUGAUUCCAUAGAGCAUUUGUGAAACAGCACUGUUCUGGUAUACUGGGCAUGACCUCAAUACCUGCACAGCAGCUGGGGGCCCCACUCAGAGAAUAUGAAAAGACUAUAGUAAGAUUGCCACAGCUGCUCCCUUCUUGUUUGCUGACAGCUAACAGCUCUGCAUGUGGUGGCUGAAUCACACAGGAAACAGGUUCUGGUGCUGCUGGCCGUGGUCCAGUGGAUGUCCAGUGUAUUAAAGUAAACCAGUGUCAAUUACACCAUCCUGUUCAUUUCCAAAAGCAAAUUAAAUACUAGCCAAAGUGUUACUAGCUUUAUAUAAAUAGAAGCGUUCAGAGCAAUUGCACUGAAAUGUCCAAAGUUGCAUUUAAACUUAUGAAAAUGUAAACUUGCAUAUAGUAAGCUUUCUUCUAGUGUUCACUGGAAAAAAUUCAGCACCAAAAUAAGUUUUAAGUAUAAAAUCAUUUUCUUCUGGGGUGAAGAAACUCUCUUGCUUCUUCUAUUCAUCAGUAUCCCAGAAUACUCAAAUAUUUCCAAACAGCUGUGAUGCUCGUGCAUUGUGAUGCAUUUAGGGAGUUCAGAGGGAUUUAAUGUGUCUUCGCUGCUUUUCAAUUUGUACAUGAGACCAGAAGUGACAAGAACCUGGAGAUACAGAUUUCAGUAUUAUCAGUGUGAUGGCAUUACAUUAGUCUAGACCUGCACUCUGCUCAGCCCAUUAGGGAUUCAUCCAUCUGGCUGACAGGUUUGCACAAACAGUGACAGCUGGCUGAAUGAACCCAAUCAGACAGAAGUGAGAAUGUGCUUGUGAGCAGGGCAGAACCUAUCAGAAAUUUGCCAGUUUCUACGUGGCUAUUAGUCAAGUGAGCUCAUCAGUGAGGAGACAGGUCUCAAAUGUGGGGGUCACUCUUGAUUGCACUUUGAGGAAGCUGAUGAAAUAGUUCUGUUGCUUCAAAGUAAACUGAAACUGUUGCUUGGCAGUUUUAUCUGUCUUCUGAUCACUUGUUCCCUUGACAUCAAGCUACAGCCAGAACCUGGCUAAUAGUGAAAAUUCUCUCCAUAAGACAUAAAAAAGCCUUCCAGAUAAAGCACUAAAAAACACAUUAAAGAUUAAACACAUCAUCAAAGUUGGCUUUGAUGAGUGUAUACCUGAAUAUUUUCAUUUACUUUAUUUGUACUACCUUUUUGGGAUUUGGUUAUUUUUACCUAGAAGGUAAACGCCUACAACACCUGAUAUCAAAGCUUAGAAUAUUGUUGUGUAAUCCACUCAAAUGCUGAUGUAGUUAAUCUUAAAGAAAAAGGCAGUAAUUCACCAAAUGAAUUAUUUUCUCAGUUGUGUACGCUUCAAAAUGUGGUAACCAGUGUAUCUGUAUGAAGCACAGCUUCUAAUACGCAAAGAGGUUCCACAAUGAGAGCAGAGAGACUGCUUAACUACAUGUAUAAAAGUUUCGUGCCCAUACAGCUAUUAGAAACUUUGCAUGUAUGAAGACAAAGAUAUGUAUCUGAAAUCUGAGCUCAGGGAGAGUUUCUACAUGAGGAAAGAACAAGAGAGAGGAGGCUAACUAGUGUGUCAGUUUGUUAGCUGGAUGGCAUGUAGAGAAGUUUCUUGGAUUAGAUACAGAGCGUGAAAGACCAAUGUGGUUUUCUUUUAUUUGGGAUCACUAGGCUUAAAACUUAAUUAACUAUUAACUGUCUAUAUUAUAAAAAUAAAUUUUCUGGCUCUUUAGUAUUUACAAAUCUAUGUUUGAUGAACUCCUUAAAACUGGGGGACACUGUAUGACAUGAGAGCAUCUCAGUACACUCCUUAAUGGUGUUUAAGUAGAAUUUCUCCAGUAACUCCGUAUAAAUAUAGUAAUGUGAUAUGUCAGUAUGAAAUGCUAUCUUCUGCUGGUGUCAUCCUGGAAAUAGUACUCUGGCUUCCUAUAACAUGCUGCUAUUUGGUGAUCUUAUUUUAACUAUCUGCUUCAUCAACAAAGUGGAA